rnacentral:rRNA from 1 species
UACGAAGGGGGCUAGCGUUGCUCGGAAUCACUGGGCGUAAAGCGCACGUAGGCGGACUCUUAAGUCGGUGGUGAAAUCCUGGAGCUCAACUCCAGAACUGCCUUCGAUACUGGGAGUCUCGAGUCCGGGAGAGGUGAGUGGAACUCCGAGUGUAGAGGUGAAAUUCGUAGAUAUUCGGAAGAACACCAGUGGCGAAGGCGGCUCACUGGCCCGGUACUGACGCUGAGGUGCGAAAGCGUGGGGAGCAAACAGG